CCUAUUUAGAAUUUAUCUGUUAUUAAUUUAUUUUCAUAGCUUUCCUGCUAUUGCAACAAGAUAAUAUGGUUUUCAACCUCUGAUUCUUGAUAACUAACGCAGAGAACUUUCCUUGGCUGUUCCCGGAUAUGUUCUUAAGUUACAUCUUUUUAGAAACCUCAGUCAAAGUUUUAAAUGCAACCAACUCAAUUAAAGGGGAAAUACAAGUAGACUAUGAGAUAGAUUGAUCUGAUGGAGAAGAGGGUGGUUAUGGCAGAGUCGAUGCUGGAGGGUACAUUACAGUACCAAUCUGGUCAAGCUAAGUGUUCAAAUCCAUCAAGAAUGCUAUUGAAUCCAUUGAAAGGGCUGUAGAGCAUGGAAUAAUGAAUUUUCUUAUUUCGUCAGAUUCUACAAUGCUAUUAAAGCUUUCAUUACAAGUAAACUGCCAUGGUUUGUGCUGGCUGAUUGCCUAGCCAAGAAAGGUGUUCGAUUAAAUAAAGGUAAUCUCUGUUUUGAGGUACAACAGAAAACUACUUGACGAAAAGGAAUUUGGAGAAGCUCUAUAUGGGAGUGUUCAUUAUGAGCUUUUUUUUCUCUUCAGCCUCAAGAGUCAUAAUAUACUUCGACUUGGAUUCCUAGCUGAAGACACCCUCUAUUUAUGUGUUCGACUGUUUAGAUGCAGGAAUGAUUGCCAAUGCGUUUAUAGAGUCUCAGAAGAUCGGUCUUGAGUACAUGGAUGUUGAAGGUCUUAAGAAGCUUAACAAGAACAAGAACUUGGUCAAGAAGCUUGCAAAGAAGUUUCAUGCUUUCUAGCCUCAGAAGCUGUUAUCAAGCAAAUUCCCCGUCUUCUUGGACCUGGUGUUAACA